rnacentral:rRNA from 1 species
CCCGCUGAACUUAAGCAUAUCAAUAAGCGGAGGAAAAGAAACUAACAAGGAUUCCCCUAGUAACGGCGAGUGAAGAGGGAAGAGCUCAAAUUUGAAAUCUGACGGCCUCCGGUCGUCCGAGUUGUAAUCUAUAGAGGUGUUUUCCGUGCUGGACCGUGUACAAGUCCCUUGGAACAGGGCGUCAUAGAGGGUGAGAAUCCCGUUUAUGACACGGACUCCCAGUGCUCUGUGAUACGCCUUCAAAGAGUCGAGUUGUUUGGGAAUGCAGCUCAAAAUGGGUGGUAAAUUCCAUCUAAAGCUAAAUACAGGCGAGAGACCGAUAGCGAACAAGUACCGUGAGGGAAAGAUGAAAAGAACUUUGGAAAGAGAGUUAAACAGUACGUGAAAUUGUUAAAAGGGAAACGCUUGAAGUCAGUCGCGUCUUCAGGGACUCAGCCUUGCUUCUGCUUGGUGCACUUCUCUGUUGAUGGGCCAACAUCAAUUUUGGGCGGCGGAUAAGGGCCUUGGGAAUGUGGCUCCUUCGGGAGUGUUAUAGCCCUCGGUCGUACACGUUGCCUGGGAUUGAGGAACGCAGCGAGCCCGCAAGGGUGGGGCCUCGGCCACUUUACUCGCUUAGGAUGUUGGCGUAAUGGCUUUAAACGACCCGUCUUGAAACACGG